AAAGCUGUGAAGCCACUUUGAAUGGGAAGCCACAAUGAUGUGUUACAAAUUUAUAAGUGCUAUACAUAUUUGAUUUACUCCGUGGCAGACCCCCCCCCCCCCCGCUCUGUCUUUUUCUACAAGGAAGCCCCAACCAAACCCGUGUCUUCGCAUAGAUGGAGCCAUUCUGAGUGCGCAGGGAAAAGAGAGGCGAGCGGGCGCACUCACUCACUGGCUCGCUCGCUCCCUCGCUCUCUCACACACGCCGUAAUAAUGAGGUUUAAUUCUCUACCCAAGCAGAACUUGAGCAAUAAUAAUAAGCACAUCAGAACAAUUUGUUUACUGUGGCAUCGCACAGACGGCAAAAUAAGGUCCGAGAAAGACAAGCUGCCAGGGACGGCUGAUUUAUUUUUUCUUUCUUUUAGGGGGAGGGGGACAAAAUUAAGGAAAAGCGAGCCAGGGAGGAAACCAAAUUCCACACAGCGAGGAGAAACGUGGCUGGAAAAGGGGAAACCCGCCGGUAGGAAGGACCUGGUGGCCUGGUUCAAGCCCUGGAAACCGAAAGGUGGGACCGGCAAACAAAGUCCACAAUGUUUCCUUAGCUCAUAGAAGAGAAGAGGCUGCCGACUGAGCCCCCUCCCCGCGACCCCCACGUCUCCUGAGAAAAAUCCACACGUUGAAAGGAGACCCGCACCCGUAUUUCCGUGCGUGGCACCUUUGCCGGCUGUGGGAGAUGAGGGAACCCGUGUCAACUAGCUUGUAAGCGGCCGCUUGAGAGGGCGACUUUCCACGUCCCACCCAGAACUCCUCUCUGCCCCUCAGGGCUGUAAAGAGAGCAGGAGAUAAAGGCACACUCCUCUCGGAGGAGGCCCUGUCUUCUCGCACGUGGGAUCUCCUCCUCGGGCUGGGCGAAGUUAACCCUUUUAAGCCUCUUUGGGGGAUUAAAGGACACAUUCUUCGGAUGCCUCAUAGUGGCCCUCUUCGAUUCCAAACUAAUCUCGGAGCAUUUGAGCUUUGCCUCAGGUCUACCAGGCACCUAUUCCGCUCCUGGGGUGUUUGUUUAUACAAAGGCUUCGCUCCACUAUGAAAACAUCUGACUAUAGUCCAUAUCUGACUAUUGUUCCCUUUUCUGAACCCUAAUACACUCACGGUUCUCCCAUAGGUCCCAUUCCCAAGCUCUUCUCAUCUUGGAAAAUAUUGGGAUCCCACGUACAUUGGAUCCUGAAAGCCUCUAGAUCUGCUUUCCAGAAAAUGUGUAUAGAGAAUGGCACUAAGCUUGAAAGCCAGCCCUAUUCGAUUUGAAUGGUUGAACUUAAUGAGACAUAGCAGAGGAUUGAGGGGGAAAUGCCAGGCACACUGAUUUGGAACUAAGCCCAUCAAUCUCAAUGGGACUUACUUGGAGGAACUUAGAUUGAAUUGUACUAUUAGAGUCGCCUAAUCUUUAAUGGCCUUGUGUUAGCGAAAGCUGUCGUGGCCGGAAUCACUGGAUUGCUGUGAGUUUUCUGGGCCCUAUGGCCAUGUUCCAGAAGCAUUAUCUCCUGACGUUUCGCCCACAUCUCUGGCAGGGAUCCUCAAAGGUUGCCAUAUUAGAAACUAGGCAAGGGAGGUUUAUAUAUCCGUGGAAGGUCCAGGGUGGGAGAAAGAACUCUUGUCUGUUGGAAGCAAGUGUGAAUGUUGUAAUUAAUCACAUUGAUUAGCAUUGAAAAGUCUUGCAGCUUCAAGGCCUGACUGAUUCCUGCCUGGGGGAAUCCUUUGUUGGGAGGUGUUAGCUGGCCCUGAUUUAUUCUUGUCUGGAAUGUCACUGUUGUUCUUUAUUUACUGUCCUGAUUUUAGAGUUGUUUUUUUGUAAUACUGGUAGCCAGAUUUUGUUCAUUUUCAUGGUUUCCUCCUUUCAUAUGGGCGAAACCUCAGGAGAGAAUGCUUUUUGAACACUCACAGCAACACAUUUAAUGGCUUUGUUUCCGGUUUGGACCUUCAGCAUUACUGACACCUUUUUGUCUCCAGAGUAAGAGUGAAAUGUAUGAAUCCUUAACCAUUUUAUCUGGGACAUGAUACAGAUCCAAUGAUGGGCUGACCAUUAUAUCAUUUAUAAUUCAAAAUGGGACACUAAAAACAAACAGGAAAGGAAAGUAGUCAAUAAUAUCUCUCCCCAAAUUCUUUGAGAAAGUAUGGUACUAAAGCUGAGGUUAAUAUAAUCUACCAGUGAACACCUAAAUUUUUGAAGAAACUUUAAAAGAAUAACUGAAGUAAUAUGCAAAAGAAGCCAUUAAAAGUCCAAAUUCAAGAUAAAAUCCAUGAUAUUAUGCUUCUAGUAAAUGAUCAGAAAGGGCCUUUUCCUUUGUUUAUUUCCACCCAGAAUGAUAUUAGUAAUGCGAGUCAACCUCAAAGGGGUUGCUUGUCCCAACUAGAGCAAAGUCAUCGCAUCAAAGAAAGAAGAAAAUGUUGAUUCACCAAGUUUCUACUGAAUUGGCAUAGGUUUAUUCUGGAGGGACCAGCGAUUGGAUUUAGGCCGGAAGGCUGUGGCAGCGCAGUAUCGGACCGCUUUCCAGAAUUUCAUGCGGACAGAGGGACCAAGGAGAACAGCUCAAUAAACCCGUGACUCGUUCAGAGGCUGACACCAUCUGAAAGCAGUAGAGAGGCAAAGGAGGGCCGGCAAGGUAACAUGGGCCUGUUGUUUAGUCUGUAGGGUUAGGCGUGUGGCCAUAGGUUUUGGCUCAAUGGGAGAAAGACAGGAGAAAUGCAGAGAACAGGAGGCCUUCUAACAGUUGUAGAAAAGUAUUGGUAACAGCCCUUCCCUCUUGGUUCAGUUGAAACCCAUGGGAGGCAGCUAUUCCUGUUGUUGUUCUGUGCCUUCAAGUGUUUUUUGAUUUAUAGUGACCUCAAAGUGAACCAUCAUGGAGUUUUCUAGGCAUGAUUUUGCUCAGCGGAGAGUUUGCCUUCCUCCGAGGCCGAGAAAGUGUGACUUAAGCAAGGUCGCCCAGUAAAUCUCAUGGCCAAGUGAGGAUUAAAACCCAGGUCCUCGGAGUCCCAGUCCAACGCUCAAAUGACUGCCCCAUGCUAGCUCUCAUGUAGCACCCUUCUUGAUAGUAAAUCCCACCCAAACAAAAACAAAACAAAACAUUAAUACAAGGAAGCAAGACUAAGAUUGGGGCCUGUAUUUAGACUAGACUGAGAAGUAUUAACUUGGUUCAUUGUUUCCUGUGCUGUACAGGAAGUCAUCUAAGAAAACAGGAGCCUUUUUCAGAUAGGCCUAGCCCUCUACAUUUUGAUUCAUGAGUCUCUUGACUGGGUUGGAAGUGAACAGAGAAUCCCACUUAUUGCUAUUUGGGUGGAAAUUUCUUUGUACAGCCUUGUAGUCUCAAAGACACAAGUCUACAAAUCUAAAAUGUGGUAGAUACUCAUACAUAUAGAUGUAGAUAUAUCGCCUGCAGCCUCCAGACCAUAACUGUGGUAGAUAUUCUUUCUCUCUCACACACAUUAUACACUAUCUUCCACAUUUAAGGUUUGGAGGUUGUAGGAUAUAUGUAUAUUUGUGUGAGUGUAUCUAUCUCUACAUAUUUAUCUAUCUACCUAGCAGAUUUGAGGUUUGGUGGCUGGAAGAUUAUUAAUAUAUUUGUAUCCAGUGUCAAUCUGGUUUAUUUGUUUUCUUGAUUUUAUAUGGUUAUAAUAAAAGAAAAGAAAGGCAUUUACCAUGGAAUACAAAUAAAGUAUUAUUACUGUAUUAUUAUUAUUAUUAUUAUUAUUAUUAUUAUUAUUAUUAUUAUUAUUAUUAUCUGGCUGAUUUAAAAGCAAUUAAAGAUCAGGGAAGAGAUCUGUUUGUUUAUAAAGGGUAUAAGGCUUAUAAAGGGUAGGAAGCAUCUUAUCUGAGUUUUUCUUAGCCAAGGCCACCCCUCAGCAGGAUGGAUUAUAGAGUCUGGAUGUGGAAAACAAUCAUCAAAAGGUCAAAUCCAGACAAAGGUCUACAAGUAUCUGUCAACAUCUAGGCUCCUGAUGGCCUAGUUAGGAUUGCUAGUCAAAAGCCAGAUUUAUUUUAUUUUAUUAUUUUUGUGAUAGGAAAUAAAUUAUUCUCUUCUUCCACUAAACUCUUUCCGGUUUCCCCCAAUCAGUCUGAUCUCAGUUCCAGUGAGAAAUGGGGUAUAUCUGUUGUCGAAGGCUUUCAUGGCCAGAAUCACUUGGUUGCUGUGAGUUUUCCCAGCUGUAUGGCCAUGUUCCAUUACUAUUUUUUUCUGACAUUUCGCCUACAUCUAUGGCAGACAUUCUCAGAAGUUCUGUGGUCUGCUGGAAACUAGGCAAAUGAGGUUUAUAUAUCUGUUGAAUGUUCAGGGUGGGAAAAAGAACUCUUGUCUGUUUGAGGCAGUCCUGAAUGUUUCAACUGGCCACAUUGAUUAUCAUUGAAUAGCCUUUCAGUUUCAAGGUCCGGCUGUUUAUUGCCUGAGGGAAUCCUUUGUUGGGAGGUGUUAGCUGGCCUUGAUUGAUUUAUGUCUGGAAUUUCAACAGAAAGGAGGAAACCAUGAAAAUGAACAAAACCUCUCUAUCAGUAUUUUUAAAAAAACUCUAAAAUCAGGACAGUGAAUAAAGAACAACAUUCAAAAGACAGGGGAAUUCCAGACAAGGUGGCCAAUUGAAACAUUCACGCCUGCUUCCCACAGACAAGAGUUCUUCCACAGAUAUAGAAACCCCACUUGCCUAGUUUUCAACAGACUUCCCAAUCUGAGAUUCCUGCCUUCGUUGUGGGCGAAAUGUCAGGAAAAAAUGUCUAUGGAACAACGCCACACUGCCCAGAAAAUUCACAGCAACCCAUGGCAUAUCUGUUUCUGAAGCCUCUUCCACACAGCUGAAUAAAAUCCCACAUUUUCUGCUUUGAACUGUGGUAAAGUGGACUCAGAUAACCCAGUUUUAAGAAGAUAUUGUGGAUUAUUCUGCCUUGAUAUUCUGGAUUAUAUGGCUGUGUGGAAGGGUCCUGAUAGGAAGAGAGUCGCACCUAAUCUCAAAGAGGAGUAAAGCAAUAUGUUGCUGCGACUCACAGGGCGAAGCAUAUUCUAAAACAACUUCUGUAAUGACUAGCAAACUGCUUCUUAUAAAUUAAACCCGGAAAGCGAUUUGAAUCCUGGUAAAGGGAGGGAAGGAGGAGGAAGGAGGGCAGGAAAGAAGGAAGGGGGAAAGGGGGAUAAAACCGAAGUUCCAUCGAAUUAGUUUGAGCCGGCUUGCUCUCCCCAGUGACUGCCUCUAUUAGCAUUAUAAUCUCAAACACCAUUUUUUUAUGUCACACUAUUGUUAGUAAAUCAACUCCUCAGGUCCACAGAGACGCUGACCCCUGGCAAUUCAGCGAAAGUGUAAUUAUCUCCCCGAAUCUUGGACAGAUUUAAGAGAUUACAUCGCAACUAAAUCUAUAUCAAUGCUAAUUUCCCUUCCUAGGCUCCAGGUGCCAGGCAGGAGGAGAGGCCCGGAGCUGCCCGGCAGGACCGCGUACAAAGAGGCGGCGGGGCUGGCGGAGGAGGAAAGAGGGGCCACGAGGCACCGAGCCCCCUCAAAUUACACCCCCGCCCCACUUUCACCACAAAAAAAGCCUGGUUCUUGUAAGGCAAAGUUAAACAAAGCAGCUAUGCUAAAUUAGCGUCAAAGAAAAGCGAGUUUAAUGCUCGGCUACAGUCAACUGGUGUAUAUUGGAUGGCUAAUUGUCUAUCAAAAUUAAGGAGAAAAGAACAAAUGAUUCGUUAUAAGAAGGUGUUAAAAGCUCCCACAAAGGGAGACAUUUCACAAAUAUAAUAUCGUUGGGAGGGUGCAUUGGAGCCUUUCGGAGGGGAAAGAGACCUGAAAGCCCACCCCUCCCCACCCCGCACCCCAGACAACAAGGGGUCUCGCAGAAAGCUUUUUCCACGACGCUCUUUCGCUCCAAAGGGAAAGUCAACAGGGGAAAGCAGGCUGGGCUUUGCACGACUCAAAGCAGGAGAAACAAACAGCCGAGGCUCUCUGAGGAGGAGCAACAAUAUCCAUUCCAGUCGAAGAUGUGGCGAGGCAAGGAAGAGCAGGAAAGUCACCGAGACAGGACGGGUUGGGAGUUCAAGAGGGCUUUUAGGACACCGGGAAGAUCUCCGGAGCAGGAGCCAUAAACAGGAGCCGGGAGGAGGAAACCCCAAAUAUCCCAACCGCAGAACCGUGUGAUGGAUUCAUAAGAAAUCCCUAGUCCUAAAACACUUGUUUAGGAGAUUUCAGGGAAGAGAAGUAACAUCUACAUGGAUUCAAAGAGGGAGAUACAUACAAACACACACGCUCCUGUUACUGACUUUAGAAAUUGUGUAAUGAUACUUUAUAGGUGGGAAAAAUAUUUUAAAACUGUAUAGUAUUUAUAAAAGUAAUAUAGCAUAUUAAUUAUUAUAUAUCAAUAUAUUAUAUUAUAUAUACGGUUUCUAUAGAGUAUAGUAUAUAUUUAUUAUAUUUCACCAAUAUGAGUAUCAUAAUACAAAUGGUAUAAUACUACUUACAUUGGUGGGAAAAUAACAAUUGCAAAAUAAGGUGGUAUAAGUGAUGUACUGGAAAAAUUACUAGUUGAAUUACUGACUAUACAAUUUUUAUAAUGAUACACACAUUGCUGAGGAAAUAUAUAUAUAUAUAUAAAAUACUUACAUUUGUGGAAAAAUAAUAACAAUUGCAAAAAAAAAGGUGGUAUAAGUGAUGUAAAUUGAAAAAUUGCUAGCUGAAGUACUGACUAUACCAUUUAUAUAAUGAUACUUAUUGCUGGGGAAAUUAUAUCUAUCUAAUUUUAAAAUCUAUAUAUUUAUUGGGUUGCUGUGAGUUUUCCUGGCUGUAUGGCCAUGUACCAGAAGUAUUCUCUCCUGACGUUUCGCCCACAUCUAUGGCAGGCAUCCCAGAGGUUGUGAGGUCUGUUGGAAACUAGGCACGGGAGGUUUAUAUAUCUGUGGAAGGUGGGAGAAAAAACUCUUGUCAAGUUGCAGUUAAUCACCUUGAUUAGCAUUGAAAAGCCACGCAGUUUAAAGGCCUGACUGAUUCCUACCUGGGGAAAUCCUUUGUUGGGAGGUGUUGGCCCAUGAUUGUUUCAUGCCUGGAAUUCCCCUGUCUUCUGAGUGUUGCUGUUUAUUUACUGUCCUGAUUUUAGAGUUUUUAAAAAUACUGGUAGCCAGAUUUUGUUCAUUUUCAUGGUUUCCUCCUUUCUGUUGAAAUUGUCCACAUGCUUGUGGAUUUCAAUAUAUAUAUUUAUUUUUCCCCAGAAAUAUAAGUAUCAUUGUACCAUUUGUAAAGCCAGUAAUUCUGUCAGUAAUUUUCCAAUACAUCACUUAUACCAUCCA